UCGAUGUUUGUCUAGCACCACGUGUGCUGAGAGCGUUCUCUGGUUUGCAAAUCAUUAAAUUUAUUUAAUCAUUUUUGUCUGUUCUACUGAGUCUCUAACUAAGGGAGUGAUAUUAAAACUUCCACCACAAUCUGGCGCUGCGAGCAGGGUCCUAAACUCGGUCCAUUGAUCGUCCCGGGAAACGGAGUAAAUCACCGGUGAGACCUAUUCUUAACUUGGGUCAGGACGGCCGGAACUAAAAAGUUUGACGGGGUCCGCUGGGGGCGUCAAUGAGGCGGAUAAAGGAUCCCGGACAAUAUUGAGACACGGUGAGAUGGCAAAAUUGUAUUAAAUAAGUAAGGAUUCUUACAAUUGGACAAGAGUUCCAUUGUAAAAGAACCGGUUUAAGAAUUCUUACAAUUGGAAAAGUGUUCCAUUGUAAAAGAAACGGGCGGGAGUCCCGUUUAAACUAAUUAUUGAAAUCCUAGGAUAAUUAUCGUUCAUGUUUAGAAGUUAAUUGAAUUAAUAACUCGAAAGUUAAUUGAACUAAUAGUUUGUCGUUUGUCCUUUCAUUUUUUUGUGUAUAUGUUUGAAAUCGCUGGCGUAAUUGAGAGAAUGUGAUGAAUGAGAUUUAAUUUGAAUAAAUAGGCGAUUGGUGUUAAGAUCAGAGGAUAUUGAGAAGAACCGUGUUUAAGAGGAAUUAGAAGACUAAGUGAUUUCAUGGGUGCGACAAAAAGUAGUAUUGUUGAUUACACUAGUUUGACAGGAUGUCAGAGAAACAUGCAUGAUAGAUGGGGAUGAGGUCUCCUGACGCAAAAUGACUUGUGCAAUGUUAAGUCAAGUUUAAUAAAGUUCUGGUUGGCCAGGUAAUAAUUAAAAAAAAAAAAAAAAAAAAAGCAGAUUGUUUAAACAAAUUAAUUGUUCAUGGUUGGAGUCAAACGUUGGGGAGGAGCCACGUGCCAUUUGGCACGUGGCACAAUUAAAAAAUAGAUUUGAAAUCUCUUAAAAGGUCUGGGACCUUGUAUAUGACGUCAUAAAAUCAGAUUAAUUGAGUAAGAGUAAAUUGAUUGAUAUUUCUUUUUCUUUGAUUCUUUUCUUUCUUUCUCUCUGUUUAAUUGUCUGUCCAUGUGCACAUUUUGUUCAUAUUUAAUGUGAAUGUCAGAAUUGUAUUUUGAAUACAUUUUCUGACUUCCUUUGCGCUGCGUAUUAAAGCUUAUAAGAUCAAUAAAACAGGCUGUCUUUUAAAAAAAAACCACUAUCGUUUUGACGUCACGAACAGUUUGCAAUUAGUUGUCGCGCUGACUUGUCUGUUAUCGACUGUCCAAGGAGGGUGAGUAUGUUUUAAUUACCAUCCCCAAUAUUUAGUGGAUCCAGUCGCUAACAGUUGAGUUUGUAGUUUGACUGAGCAUUUAAAGGAUCUUUGUGGGUGUUUAUUGGACCGGGACUUGAGACUUGACAGAGGGCAAAUUAAGUCCCAGUAGACGGGCAUGUAAGGUCUAGUGUUUGCCGUUGUGGCACUAUUGUAUCGUAUUUAGUGUGGAUUAGUAUAGUAGGAAUUCCUUGCGAGGUGUGUUGUCUUAGACCUAUGUGUGUUGUUGUGUUGUAUUGUAUUAAUUCAAAGGUGUGUUUAGGAGAGUAACUUGAAGUCAAUAUAAACAUAUUGAGUUGUAUAAGGAAGACAUAAUGUUAUCUGAGAUAAUGGAUUAUGUAGAAAUCAAACAUAGUAUAUGGCAGAAGGGAAUACUGGAUGAACAAUGGGAUCCAGCAUGGAAUCCAGUUCAACAGCGUGAGGGGUGGAUUAAACAGAGAGCAGUGAUAUUGAUUGGAACAGUUUUAGCGAGAAGCUGUACGAUACAGAGAAGAAUAGAUUUAGGAUACAUGUAUACUGUCGAUCAUUUUUAUGUAUGUAACUCUGCUGAAGGGACAAUAUUAGGCAAUAAUAUAUAUUACACCAGGUCGGAUGCAUAAAUACUAUAUCAAGUUGCAAGUCAAACAGCAAAUGUUAGUGCAGUAAAAGCAUAUAUUAAGGAUUGGGCGAACAAUAAAUGGGGAAAAGUCUGUGCAGUUUACCCAGAUGCAUGGGCGUCACAUAAACAAGAUUGUGGUUUAAUGCAGCAGGAACCGAUUGAAAUUAUACUGUAAAAAAUGAAUAAAUAAAUAAAUAAAUAAAGUUGCAUUACCAGUAAGAGUGCGUGAGAAGCACAAUGGGGAAAAGGAAAUGACAGUUUAUGCAUUAACGCUGUUAGAAAAGCAGUCAUUAGGAGCAUGCCUGCCAAAGAUUGAAUGCAAAUGUGUAACUAAAGAUUAUCAAACUAAGGUAGAGCAACAGGCUUUGUCACACGGAUUAACUGAAACUGAGGUGUGGACAUUGACCAUGGGAGCAUGCGAAGCGGGGAUUCUAGCCAAAUUACGGGAAGAGAUCAGGGACAGUACCUACUCAAAAGACGAUACAAUACGAGACCAAAGACAAUACUUGAAAGCAACAAUUGAACAAGCUAUUGAGGGGACACGUAUUGACUGGCCCGUAAUAAUGGGAGUCAAGCAGAAAGAGAAUGAGUCAGUGCAGGAUUAUGGAGUAUGCAAGUGGAGUCAGAUCAAGUGUUUGUACAGGUAUUAAUUAGUGGACUGGGUCCACAUUUGCAGAAGGCAAUUGAGCUGGGAAUAAACUAAACCCAGGGAACGCACACGAAAGAGUAAUGAAUUAGGCAGUAGCAGUAAACAUUCAAAAGGAAUAUAAAAAUGAAAAUAAGUGCUGUACGAUUUGAUGGAGCAUGUCAGAACUGUGGUAAAAUGGGACAUAGAAGGUCAGAUUGCAAACAGGGGCAGAAGCCUAAAUGUGACAAUUGUAGUAACCUCGGGAAUAGGUGAUUGUUUUGUUAUAGGACCAAGUAAAAGAACUGGACAAACCACACAGUCAGCUAAAGUGAAAGCACACAGUCUCUAAGCAACGAAGGAAGCAAUGCGGUUUCCUGUUAACCACAAAACAGCAGCUGUGUCAGUAGAUAUAUUUUGUCAUACUUUCACAGGUAGAAACAGAAUGCAUUGAUGUGAAAAAGGACAGAUGAAGAAACAGGUUGAGUGCCGACGGUUCUAUUAAGGAUCCGGGCAAGAAACAGCAGUCUAUUAUAGACACACAAAAUAGACACAAGGAGGGAAAAGAGAUGUCAAUGGUUUGGUUAAUACAUAGUGCUGAUGGUGACACAAACUAGUGUAGCAGUGAAGCUCCCACAUGGGGUUAAGUAAGUACAUUGGACACAGACCAAACGGUACCACCGCGUGGAUACAUCUCAAUUUGAAUUUGCUGACACUGAAUACCCCGAAACUAAUGGUAUAUCUCUUUCCACAGACAGCGGGAGCAGCAACGGACAGUAACAUGAUUUGUGUUCCAGGUAUUAUGUCAUUCCAGAAUCGGAGAGGAUUCCACACCUCUGGGCGUGGAACGAGACGUGUACAGAGAGACAAGCUUUGGGGGCCCCCUGGAAGAACUGCACGUGAAUACUUAGACAACGACAGGGUAAUGGAUGGAAACAAAGACCACUUCCCUUCGAGAGUGACAUAGAAGGAACGUGGCAACCUGUGCAUUUGAUAAGCCAGAAUAAUACAAUGACUCCAGCACAGUUUGAACAAUGUCCUACUUGUGAUAUAACAGUGGGAGGGGUCCAGUAUGAAUCAAUAUGCAACCGAACUGUAAGCAGUAACGCGGCAUUGGAGGUGGACUGUCUCUGGACGACAAAAAACUAUACCAAACAGUGACAACAGGAGCAAACUAAUACAACAAGUCGAGAGUAAAAACGGCAGAAUGUGGGGGUGCACCCACGAUAAUUAUAAAACAUGUGUUAAUGUGACAGGGCAAAGGAUAGUGUGUGUAACGGUACUUGUGAAAAUACAUGGUAUAUGGGAUGUAUGAAGCCACAGUUCCACUCCACUCAAUGUCCCCCGUUAAUGCCAUUUCCACCCAGACAGGUUGCUAGCUGUGGGGAGGGCAAAACCAUUUGUGAUGGGAGUAACCUGGUUGCAAACGUUGGUAGGAGUAAACAUUGAAGAUAUCUGACUCUACACCAAAAGGUGUGGUGAGUUUAGACUAUUAACUAAAAUAUUGAAUAAAACCUUUAAUCGUGAAUUGGAUACUUACCAACAUAAUGCAGGUGGCCGUCAGAGGAGGGGUCUGAUUGACGACAUUGCUGGGUGGUUCGGGGCUGUGAAUUCAGGCCUCAAUUCCAUAGAUAAUAUACAGCAGGACAAUGAAAACCAUGGCCGGUUUCUGAAAACAGGUGAUGCCAUUCAGAGAUUGGCCAUGGCUGAACAAAUGACUGGUGAAAGACGGUUGACACAAUAAUUGAAGAUGUAAAUUUGACAGCUUGGAGAGAACAGACGUUACGUGGGAAAGCCAAGACCGGAUACUGAUAUGUACUGAACGAUGUGAUUAAGAUAUUUGUUUUAUUUAAUAGUAGCACAUACCACCAGUCGGGUCCACCACAGUACCGGGAUAACGGUCAGUAGCCUAGGGGUAGUAAUUGGAACAAGGGUUAUAGUCCCACAAAUAACAUGGGUUGAUCAGCGUGCCCUAACCUGUCAAUGCAAUUGAUGGAAGCAACGGUACACCCAAAGCUAGGGUAUGAAAGAUGCACUCAGAUGAGAAAUGGAACAUGGUGUGUAAUCACCUCAAGCAUGGGGGUGGGAAGUAGCGGCCAGGUAAGCCUCAUGUCGUUGGCUGUGUGUUUUCACCCGCAGGGCGUUGUGACUGUGGGACACCUGAGCAUGCACCCCACUUUACCUAUUAACAUCACAGGCAUUAUCGAAGAUGCUGAAGAAUGGAUGAAGACAAUUAAUCACACAGCACAUCUCCACUCUGGCACGCACUUGCAGAUUCUUCCUGAGCAACAUCCGAAGAAUCCGACCCUUCCUCACCAACUAUGCUACCCAGCUCCUGGUCCAGGCCCUGGUACUCUCCCGCCUAGACUACUGCAACUCCCUCCUGGCUGGCCUCCCUGCGUCCGCCACCCGUCCGCUCCAGCUCAUCCAGAACUCUGCUGCUCGCCUGGUGUUCUCUCUACCUCGCUUCGCCCACGCUACUCCACUACUCAGCUCGCUCCACUGGCUCCCGAUCACCGCUCGCAUCCAGUUCAAGACUCUUGUACUAGCCUACAGAUGCCUUGAUCAGACUGCACCCAGCUACCUCCAGACCCUCAUCACUCCCUACACCCCCACUCGACCUCUCCGCUCCGCCUGCACUAGAAGACUGGCUCUACCUCCGCUACGCUCCCCUGCCUCCCGAGCCCGCUCCUUCUCCACCCUUGCUCCGCAGUGGUGGAACGACCUUCCUACAGAUGUCAGGACUGCCCAGUCCCUGACCACAUUCCGGCGCCUCCUUAAGACUCACCUCUUCAAACAGCACCUGUAGAACUCCUCUGUUGUAUCCUGGGACACUAUCACCCUUCAUUUAAAUAUGCUUUAUUUUGCUCUUAUCUGCCCCCUAUUUUACUGCAUUUAAUCCUGUACCUCAGAAUAUUGUAAUCUGCCAAGUGUUUAAUCUGUAGUAUUUUGUACUUAAUCAUAUCCUGAUGUAACUAUCACUAUUUAAUCAUAUCCUGAUGUAACUUUCACUAUUAUCUGCUGUAUUAUUGA